rnacentral:rRNA from 1 species
CCUACGGGGGGCUGCAGUGGGGAAUAUUGGACAAUGGGCGCAAGCCUGAUCCAGCCAUACCGCGUGGGUGAAGAAGGCCUUCGGGUUGUAAAGCCCUUUUGUUGGGAAAGAAAAGCAGCCGAUUAAUACCCGGUUGUUCUGACGGUACCCAAAGAAUAAGCACCGGCUAACUUCGUGCCAGCAGCCGCGGUAAUACGAAGGGUGCAAGCGUUACUCGGAAUUACUGGGCGUAAAGCGUGCGUAGGUGGUUGUUUAAGUCUGUCGUGAAAGCCCUGGGCUCAACCUGGGAAUUGCGAUGGAAACUGGGCGACUAGAGUGUGGCAGAGGAUAGUGGAAUUCCUGGUGUAGCAGUGAAAUGCGUAGAGAUCAGGAGGAACAUCCGUGGCGAAGGCGACUGUCUGGGCCAACACUGACACUGAGGCACGAAAGCGUGGGGAGCAAACAGGAUUAGAUACCCUGGUAGUC